rnacentral:rRNA from 1 species
UACAGAGGGGGCAAGCGUUGUUCGGAAUUACUGGGCGUAAAGGGCGCGUAGGCGGCCCGUUAAGUCGAACGUGAAAUCCCCAGGCUCAACCUGGGAACUGCGUCCGAUACUGGCGGGCUUGAAUCCGGGAGAGGGAUGCGGAAUUCCAGGUGUAGCGGUGAAAUGCGUAGAUAUCUGGAGGAACACUGGUGGCGAAGGCGGCAUCCUGGACCGGCAUUGACGCUGAGGCGCGAAAGCCAGGGGAGCAAACGGGG